AGUGAACGCUGGCGGUAGGCCUAACACAUGCAAGUCGAACGGCAGCACAGUAAGAGCUUGCUCUUACGGGUGGCGAGUGGCGGACGGGUGAGGAAUACAUCGGAAUCUACUUUUUCGUGGGGGAUAACGUAGGGAAACUUACGCUAAUACCGCAUACGGCCUACGGGUGAAAGCAGGGGAUCUUCGGACCUUGCGCGAUUGAACGAGCCGAUGUCGGAUUAGCUAGUUGGGGGGGUAAAGGCCCACCAAGGCGACGAUCCGUAGCUGGUCUGAGAGGAUGAUCAGCCACACUGGAACUGAGACACGGUCCAGACUCCUACGGGAGGCAGCAGUGGGGAAUAUUGGACAAUGGGCGCAAGCCUGAUCCAGCCAUACAGCGUGGGUGAAGAAGGCCGUCGGGUUGUAAAGCCCUUUUGUUGGGAAAGAAAAGCAGCAGGUUAAUACCCCGCUGUUCUGACGGUACCCAAAGAAUAAGCACCGGCUAACUUCGUG
rnacentral:rRNA from 1 species